AACACAUGCAAGUCGAGGGGUAACAGAAGAAGCUUGCUUCUUGCUGACGACCGGCGCACGGGUGCGUAACGCGUAUGCAAUCUACCUCUAACUGGAAGAUAGCCCCGAGAAAUCGGGAUUAAUACUCCAUAAUAUGAGUCUUUCGCAUGUUAGAAUCAUUAAAGCUCAGGCGGUUAGAGAUGAGCAUGCGUCCCAUUAGUUUGUUGGUGAGGUAACGGCUCACCAAGACUACGAUGGGUAGGGGGCCUGAGAGGGUGAUCCCCCACACUGGUACUGAGACACGGACCAGACUCCUACGGGAGGCAGCAGUGAGGAAUAUUGGUCAAUGGACGCAAGUCUGAACCAGCCAUGCCGCGUGAAGGAUGAAGGCGCUACGCGUCGUAAACUUCUUUUAUUUGGGAAGAAACCCCCUUACGUGUAAGGGGCUGACGGUACCAAACGAAUAAGGACCGGCUAACUCCGUGCCAGCAGCCGCGGUAAUACGGAGGGUCCAAGCGUUAUCCGGAAUCAUUGGGUUUAAAGGGUGCGUAGGCGGGAAAUUAAGUCAGUGGUGAAAGCCCACAGCUCAACUGUGGAACUGCCAUUGAUACUGAUUUUCUUGAAUUUAGUCGAAGUGGGCGGAAUGUGUCAUGUAGCGGUGAAAUGCAUAGAUAUGACACAGAACACCGAUUGCGAAGGCAGCUCACUAGCCUAAUAUUGACGCUGAGGCACGAAAGCGUGGGUAGCGAACAGGAUUAGAUACCCUGGUAGUCCACGCCGUAAACGAUGAUCACUCGACAUUGGCGAUAAACUGUCAGUGUCCAAGCGAAAGUAUUAAGUGAUCCACCUGGGGAGUACGAUCGCAAGGUUGAAACUCAAAGGAAUUGACGGGGGCCCGCACAAGCGGUGGA
rnacentral:rRNA from 1 species